rnacentral:rRNA from 1 species
CCACGCAGUAAACGAUGAUAACUCGUUAUCGGCGAUAUAUAGUCGGUGACCAAGCGAAAGCGAUAAGUUAUCCACCUGGGGAGUACGAUCGCAAGGUUGAAACUCAAAGGAAUUGACGGGGGCCCGCACAAGCGGAGGAGCAUGUGGUUUAAUUCGAUGAUACGCGAGGAACCUUACCCGGGUUAGAACGUUUUAGGGAUUAAGCAGAGAUGUUUAAGCUUUUCGGAGCCUAAAGCGAGGUGCUGCAUGGUUGU